UACGGAGGGUGCGAGCGUUGUCCGGAAUCAUUGGGCGUAAAGGGCGCGUAGGUGGCGGCUUAAGCGUGCGGUGAAAGCUCGGGGCUCAACCCCGAGUCGGCCGUGCGAACUGAGUCGCUUGAGCACUGUAGAGGCAGGCGGAAUUCCGGGUGUAGCGGUGGAAUGCGUAGAGAUCCGGAAGAACACCGGUGGCGAAGGCGGCCUGCUGGGCAGUAGCUGACACUGAGGCGC
rnacentral:rRNA from 1 species